AGAUUUACCAUAUCUCUUUGCAUUUCUUUUCUCUCAGCAGAUUUCAACUCCCUAUUUAAAUUCUCUCUACAAAAUUGGUACGUUUUAGCUUCAUCGCCUUGAAGAUUGAAAUUGAUGGGACUCAGUCACUUUGAAGGUUCAAAGUGGUAGAAUUCUUUUUUCUAUUCUUAUUUUCCCUGUUAUUACUUUAAUGAUUUACUAUGCUAUGGGUUGUUUGAUUUCAUUUAUAUGGUGUGAUGUUUCUUUGUAUGUACAACUUCUUCAGGUGAAAUAUAGAGUAAUAUAUUUUCCCUCCAUCUUUAGUUGUUCCUAUUUUCCCUCCCUUUUUAGUUGUUCCGUUGAUGUACAAAGUUAUAGGAGAUAAUAUAUGCAACCAUGUCUACAAAGUUUUGAGUGUGCUUUGAUUUUGGCUGCUUACAUCCCUUCUUGGUUUCUUAAUUUGAGUUGCAUGUCAGUGCUAUCUGAUGUUUGCUCUAUGUUGUACAUAGAGUGUUUGAUAGUAUGUCCGACUUGACUUUCUCUCCUUCUUCAAUCGUAUAUGCAUAGAAAUUUCUAUAUAUUAGAAGCUAACACUGACACUUUUAACACUUUAAUGCUACCGUUAAGAGCCUCUAUAGGACUAUUACAUUGAGAAACAUAUAUGCAUCACAAUGUUCAACUCUGAUUAGAUCCUUAAUGCAAUAAUAUGACCACAUUUUAAGUGUUUAAAUUUGUAUGCAUAAGUUACCGUUAGCUAGCGGUAGCGCAUUGACAAGAGUACAUAUGCCUGAUUUUAACUUACGCAAAUAGAACACUAACCUAAUUAGUCUGGCUCUCUAACUCUUCCUACCCAUAGCAUUGUGAAGAUAUCCUUGUGGGACACAUGACGCUAAGAUUCAACAUUAAGCAAGUAACUACAGACGCUCUUGAUUGGACAUGCAAAAUUCAAAUCACUGACAUCAGUUGAGAGAGACAAAGCCCUGAGAAGAAAAUUCGAUUUCAAAAUCUGAUUUUAUAAGAUGAACAGGUACUUUCACCUACAUAGUGGUCAUAUCUACUAUUUUAUGCAUAGUUAUAUUAUUUAUGUACAUCUUGCAGAGAUGUUCAACUUUACAGAGCCAACAAAUUAAGAUAGUUGUGUAUGGUAAUGAUAUUAGAUAUUAUGUGCAAAAAUUGAUAUUAUUGGCCACCUAUCUGAUCUCUGCUAGGGUAAAGGUUUCACCAACUUCAUACGGUAGACCAAUACAUACCUUUUAUUGGAUACUUGACAAAAAAACUUCAGUAGAACAUGUCAACCCAACUGAUGAGCUUGAGAAACACUUCAACUACUGACCAAGCUGAAUAUCACAGCUUUGGACCGUGUCGCCCAUAUGACUCCCACCUCUUCUACAGAAAUUGAUACAUUAUUCCUACCAACCACUGUCCGGUCAAAAUUUAUGUCAAAACACAUAAAUGCUAACUAUAUUCUUCUUAUUUCUUAGUAGCAAGUAUUCUAAGAGUUUUUAUACAGCUCUAACAGGCAAGAAAAAAGAAUGCACUAAGAAGCAAGGGCUUUCGCACUGCUGCUGCGUUCUUGUUUUUUGCUUUCGAGCCAAAACUUGUUGGUAGUGAAUUAGUCUAUAAAUAGACAACUAUCAGUAAGUAGUUACUUCCAUAUAAGACACUGUUGUUUUUAUUUUGAAAGUACAACUAUUAUUAUAAAAGAUUCUAAAAGAAAUGGUAAUGAAUUCCUUUCGCUUUUAGAAAAAUCCAAUUUCUGCUCACUUUAUGAAAUAACUUCGAAGAAAUUAAAGGGUUUGAAUUGCAGGCUAAAACGGAAAAGGAUGAUUACCUAGUGAUCCUUGAAAGGAACAUAAGAAUUUCUUCUUAUUAGGGUAUAGGCGUAUUAAAAUAUUUUAGUUAAAUGCACUUAUAUAAGAUACAACAUCACACAAUGAUUUUGUAUGCGCAGAUUUAUAAUUGCAGACCAGAUUCAACACAACAAUAUGCAUCUAUGCUAUAUACCCACAGGCAUUGGAGCUCCUCAGACGGUUCUCUAAUCCUUGAAAUGGGUGCAUUGUCACAUUUAACUGGUGAUACAAGAUUUGAGACGGCAGCUUUACGUGCUCUUCGUAAGUUAUGGAGCAUGCGGAGUUCUCUAACUCUUCUUGAAACUACACUAGAUGUAGAAACUGGAGACUGGAUUGAAUAUUCUUCUGGAAUUGGAACUGGUAUGUUUUGUCGAUAGAGUACUUAUAGGUAACUUCUCCACAAUCAUUUUCUCGAUUUAGUAACAUAGAAUUAGGAAUAACUUAGAGUAAGAAAGCCAACAAAUUAUUUGAUUUUAUUAGCGGUCAGGAGUAUUUAGUGCCAUUGGUACAUAGAUGCAUAUUAUUCCAUAUAUUAUCUGUGCAACUGCUUAUGAUUUUUGGUCGUUGUAUUACAAAUUUGAAUACUUCAUUUGUCAUUUUCUUGAGUGAACUUUUUCGUCUUUUGACAGCACCCUCAUAUUCUUCAUUUGUUUCUGGAAACAUCAAACAAUUUGAAAAAAAAAGUGAUGACAUGAAGAGAAUAAAUGUGUACAGACUUUAAGAUGAAAAAGAUUGAGAGAAUUUUAUUUUAUGAUAAUACUUCACCUUAAUUGCUUCAUUUUCAAUUCUCAAAUCUAUUUCUUCCAUGCCUCCACUUACAUAAAAAAGAUCUAAUAUUACAUGCGUCUAUGAUUUCAUUGUUGUUUAUAUCCAUAAUAUAGUUUUCCGUUAUUCUAUAGUACAAUUUUGCUGCAUGAGCUGAAAACACAUUAAUCAUGUGACAAUUGAAGAGCUCACCUUCAGCUUUUCCUAUAAUAUAAAAUGCCUUCUGAAAGACGAUUACGUGUCUCAAGACUAGCCUUUGGUUUAAAGACUACAAUUACUAAAUCUUUUGAUUUUGUUAGCCUCUCAAAAAAUGGAUAGGAAGGUUGUAAACAAUAUCUAUCUAUAUGGUUGUGAGAAUCUCAUCUUUUGAAUUGAAUGAACUGUUCAUGAAUCAUCCUUCACACAUGUUGCUGAGUCUGGAUCCUCAAGAACAGAAUUGCCAAUUGACCACCCACCAGUAAAAAAAGUUAUAAGCGGUCAGGCGAUCACUGUUCCUGAUUUAGCGAUAAGUGGAUAAGGCACAUUCAAGUAAGUUUCUUUGACUGAUGUUUUUUUUAAAAUGAAUAUUCAUUGAUUAAGCUAAUAUUACCACAGAAUCAUGACUCCUUCUUCUGUAUAAUUUUGGGAUAAAUAUAGGUUUGUCUUCCUCAUUGUCUGGUGUAAUAUCUGUUACUGUUUCCUCAGAACAUUUUUGCCGCUUAAUAUGUCACCACUUUUCACCUAUGGUUGCUGGUAUACUUGAAGCUUGACUUGUAAGAUCUAGUGACAUAUGAGCCUUUAGUUAUGUUUAGAACCUCAACUUCCUUAGUAUGAAAAUAAAAAUGUUAAAGGACUGAAGUAUAUAACAAGAAUUUGUUCCUAAAACUUAACUUGAAUUGAGAUUAAGUUAUCUGUUUAAGAAAAUAUGGCUAUCAAUAUUAAACAUCAACUUGACAGUGUAAAUUUGUCACAUUUAAAUAAUUUAUUUACUUCAACUUUACUUUUGCCAGCUUAUGUUGAUGCAAUCAUUUCUUUGAAGCUUUAUAUUAAAUUCAUCAUUUUAGCCUUCUACAUUUUGAAGUUACCAAUUUUCAUUUUUGUACAAUGUUUGCGCUUUAGAUCCCUGUUUUCAGCUUUAUCUGGUGACAAAUAUUUCAUCUUUUUCUCAGAUAUCUCAACAUCGUACUAUGCCAUAAUUUUUUGAUUACACAGAAACUUGGUUGACUCCAACGGUAUCAUCCUACCCAGUGGCGGAUGUACAUGUAUUCCAGGGGUUCAUCCGAACCCCCUUCGUCAGAAAAUUAUACUAUUUUUACAUGGUAAAUUUUUUUUUAUGUAUAAAUAAUAGAGGCUGAACCCCCUUCGACUAGUCCGUAUAUGUACUAUUGAACCCUCUCACUAAAAAUCCUGGAUCUGCCCCUUAUCCUACCACUGUAAAUUUAAAAUAUGAUUAUGAUGCAACUAGAAAAUUCAUCGUCUGUUGGGCUUUUUUGUGUACUGUGACUACUACUAGAACGAUAUUUGCAAUGCUUGAAAUUCUUGCAUGCAGUUUAACUACACAACACGCUGGUGCUUGUAAAUAUUGUUAAGAUAAUAUAUAUAUAAUAGUAUGCUAUUAAGCUUGAAUUGUAGUAUUCUUGUGAUCCUUUAGCUUAGAUGCUAAAGAAUUAGAAUCACUGGACUGCACUAAUUCUAUAAUUGAUUGGUGGUUUUUAGUUUUUGAACGCACUUCAGAGUUCCCUCCGAUCAACCACCACACGUUAUUGUGAAGAUUGACGUUGUAGCAGAUGAAUUUAGAUGCUUAAUUGUUGAGAGCAUUAGAUUUAUUUUACAUGGUAUUUAUUUUUGUAGCUUAUGGCUAGGUAUGUUGCACUUUGGAAUGACCUACACACAAGUAUCACUUAAAAGAAAGAUAAGCACACAAGUAGUGGCAACAACACAAGAAGUUCCUGUAAAGUGUAACUUACACCUAUGAUGUUAACAACCUUUUGGUCUUCGAAUACAUAAGUUUAAGUUCUUUUGUCCAAAUUAUCAUUUAUGUAACCUAUGUUUCUGCAAAUUUCAAUAAAAAUGAAAGAUGAUUACAUGACUUGAUGAGAACAAGGAGCAUAAAUAAGAAAUACUAUGAUUACAUGU